rnacentral:rRNA from 1 species
UACGUAGGGCGCAAGCGUUGUCCGGAAUUAUUGGGCGUAAAGAGCUCGUAGGCGGCCUGUCACGUCGGGUGUGAAAGCUUGGGGCUUAACUCCAGGUCUGCAUUCGAUACGGGCUGGCUAGAGGUAGGUAGGGGAGAGCGGAAUUCCUGGUGUAGCGGUGAAAUGCGCAGAUAUCAGGAGGAACACCGGUGGCGAAGGCGGGAUCCUGGGCCAGUACUGACGCUGAGGAGCGAAAGCGUGGGGAGCAAACAGG